rfam:Desulfobacterales bacterium PC51MH44 PC51MH44_contig000460, whole genome shotgun sequence.
CAAGUCCCAUCUAACUAAAGUUUAGCCAACAGGUUAGUAGUGAAGUCUGCGGGCAAAGCCAGAACGGGAGACCGGAAUGGAAGUCCGAAGCCAGAUGGAUCAAGGGUGCAGGCUCUGUAUUGAGCCCCGAAAAAUGUAUAGUUGUGGACAUUAGGAUAAAUAGGUGCUUGUAGUUUUGAGUGCCUGAGAAAGCCGACGCUUUGGAUUGAGCGGAAGGCAGCAGUCCUGAAAGCGCUAUGGCGAGUAUUCAGGACA